rnacentral:lncRNA from 1 species
GAAGAAAUUUUCCAGUCUGACGUCUGCAAGGCUGGAGACCCGGGGCAGCUACUCCAAAUCAGGAGGCCUGAAAAUCAGGUGACUGACGGUUUCAGCCCAGAUCUGAGUUCAAAGACCCAAGAACCAGGAGUACAAGUGUCUGAGGGCAGGAUAAGAUAAUUGUCUCAGUUCAGAGAGAGCAAAUUCCCCUUUCCUCUGCCUUUUUGUUAUAUUUGCAUUCUCAACAGAUUGGACAUAGAUGCCAUCUACAUUGGUGAGGGUUGGUCUUCCUCACCUCAGUCCAUGGAUUUAAAUCCUCAUCUCUUCUCAAGCCCUGACAGAUACACCCAGAAAUAACAUUUUACCAGCUAUCUUGAGUAUUCGUUAGCCCAGUCAAGUUGACAGAAUUAACUGACAUAGAGUUCAUUAAAAAUAAUUCAAAAUAUUUGUCUAUAAAAGGGCAGAUCAGCUUUUUAGAAGCAUUGAAGUAUUUAUAAAAUUCGAACUGUUUUGCACCCACCGAAUGCAAGCAUUUUCCAUUUUUUUCCCAGAAUAUUUGGCAUAAUGUAGACAACUUCUGAGCACUGGGGAACAAGCCUUCUCCUAUCAUUUGCCCUGAGGCAUAUAUCUUUUGCCCUGGCAAGUUUCAUAACAUUUUAAUCCUUUCCCUUCCUCAAUUGUGUGAUGGUGACCACAAUGCAACGGGAAAGUCCUCGUAAGAAAGACCCUUCAAUAUCUGGCUUGAUGUCACCAAGAUGUGCAAGAAAACAAACAAUACAAUGUCAAGUUGUCAUUCUGGAAAGGAGUGAGAGCUGUGGUGGGCAGCUGGAGAGCCGGCAGGUCAACCUCUUGUUGACACCAUCCUGCCAAGCCUUUUCUGGAGACAAAUGGAGUUUCCCAGCAUGUGUGGCUCCUACAGGUCCCUGGAGGCCAGCUGGGCGGAAAAUGUGGGAGAAGCCAUGGAGAACCCACUGCUGGGCUGACUGGCUGCCAACAUUCACUGCAGAACCAACAUGAUGCUUUCUGCCUAAUUAGCAGUGAUAUAAAGAGUGACUGAGAGAAAUGUGGGGGUCUCAGUGUCUAAGAAGGGGUCUCCCACUUCAAUUGAAUGGACCCCACUUUCCUCCUUAAAUCUAUGUGCUUCUAUGUCCACUCCGGGUGUUCACUUUGCCUCUAAACAAUUAACUCCAAAAAACUAAGUCAUAAAAUCCAAUGCUUCAUUUUUAAAAUUGUGAGCAUAUUAUGAUGAGUAUUU